AAUAAUUGACGACGAUGGGUAGGUCCUGGUCCCGGGGGAGGGUGUGGGGGUGCAAUGAGGAAGAAAUGGGAGGUUUGGAAUCGUGGUUGAGGGUUAGUGGUUUGAAGGGGAAAGGGGUAGAAGGGAGAAGGGGCGAGGGACGGACUGCAUGAGUUCGUGCAUGGGUGGUGGUUGGGAUGGUGGCGUCGGGUCUAUGAGGGGUGAGAGGAGAAAAGGCAAAGGGGGUUGGGGUUGUGAAGAGUGGUGGACAGUAGUGAAAGGGAAAAGGGAAGUGGCAUUCGAAAGUAGGGAGCAGGGGUACGGAGAAGGACAUACAAGACAAUAGAGGUCGGCGGCCUUGGAAGGGCUGUGAAGAGCGGUAGCUAGGGUUUUGUUGUUUGAGGGAUUGGGAGGAAGAAGAAAAAAUUGAAGAAAAG
rnacentral:lncRNA from 1 species